GACGUAGGGCGCGAGCGUUGUCCGGAUUUAUUGGGCGUAAAGAGCUCGUAGGCGGCUUGUCGCGUCGUUCGUGAAAACCCGGGGCUCAACUCCGGGCUUGCGGGCGAUACGGGCAGGCUAGAGUUCGGUAGGGGAGUGUGGAAUUCCUGGUGGAGCGGUGAAAUGCGCAGAUAUCAGGAGGAACGCCCGUAGCGAAGGCGGCACUCUGGGCCGAUACUGACACUGAGGAGCGAAAGCGUGGGGAGCGAACAGG
rnacentral:rRNA from 1 species